rnacentral:lncRNA from 13 species
AUGACAGAAAGCCAUGGGGAUGUACUUAAAUGUCUGCUGGUGACCUCCAGGAUAGGUCAAUGGCGUUUAGAAGGGGCAUCUGAGCAUCUGCUUUACAGUCAAACAGACUUUGUUUUUAAUCCUGGAUCUCCUCCCCAUAAGCUGUUCUGUGUCAGCAUAUCACUCAUCUGUCUUAGCUUCAAUUUCUCCAGCUGCAAAUUGGAAACAACAGUAGCUACCUUGCAGAAUGUUAAAGACAUUAUUACGCAUUCUUUCAAUGGCAUGGGUAGUAGCCAGUACUAUUUUAAAAUAUCCAAUGUUCUAGGAAAAGGCUCAUGCUAUAAAGUGAGUGAGUUCUCAGGAGAUCUGGUUGUUGAAAAGUGUACAGCACUCCCCACUUCGCUCUCUCUCCUGCUCCGCCAUGUGAAGAUGUACCUGCUUCUCCUUCAUCUUUUGCCAUGAUUAUAAUUUUCCUGACACCUCUGUAGCCAUGCAUCGUGUACAGCCUGUGGAACUGGCAGGGAUCCCAGGAGAAACCUGGCUGUAUGACAUGUAGGGGCGGGAAGAAGAAGAAAUUAAACAAGAUGUGAUAUCAGGCAGAGAGUUUCAGUCAUAUUCUGAAAUGGAAUCUAUAGUAAGUCAUUCAUAAUUUAUCUUUAACCCAAAACCAGUGGGCUGGAAUCCCAUACUCUUACAUCAUUCAGUGACUGGCUAAAAUCUGCCCUAGGGGACAUAGAAUUCCAGACAUUUACAGCUCUCUGUGUAGGAAGAUGAAGUGGCUCUAGAAAGGAAG